rnacentral:rRNA from 1 species
GACGAACGCUGGCGGCGUGCCUAAUACAUGCAAGUAGAACGCUGAAGAGAGGAGCUUGCUCUUCUUGGAUGAGUUGCGAACGGGUGAGUAACGCGUAGGUAACCUGCCUUGUAGCGGGGGAUAACUAUUGGAAACGAUAGCUAAUACCGCAUAACAAUGGAUGACACAUGUCAUUUAUUUGAAAGGGGCAAUUGCUCCACUACAAGAUGGACCUGCGUUGUAUUAGCUAGUAGGUGAGGUAAUGGCUCACCUAGGCGACGAUACAUAGCCGACCUGAGAGGGUGAUCGGCCACACUGGGACUGAGACACGGCCCAGACUCCUAGGGGAGGCAGCAGUAGGGAAUCUUCGGCAAUGGGGGCAACCCUGACCGAGCAACGCCGCGUGAGUGAAGAAGGUUUUCGGAUCGUAAAGCUCGGUUGUAAGUCAAGAACGGGUGUGAGAGUGGAAAGUUCACACUGUGACGGUAGCUUACCAGAAAGGGACGGCUAACUACGUG